rnacentral:rRNA from 1 species
UGCAGUCGAGCGGACAGAUGGGAGCUUGCUCCCUGAUGUUAGCGGCGGACGGGUGAGUAACACGUGGGUAACCUGCCUGUAAGACUGGGAUAACUCCGGGAAACCGGGGCUAAUACCGGAUGGUUGUUUGAACCGCAUGGUUCAAACAUAAAAGGUGGCUUCGGCUACCACUUACAGAUGGACCCGCGGCGCAUUAGCUAGUUGGUGAGGUAACGGCUCACCAAGGCAACGAUGCGUAGCCGACCUGAGAGGGUGAUCGGCCACACUGGGACUGAGACACGGCCCAGACUCCUACGGGAGGCAGCAGUAGGGAAUCUUCCGCAAUGGACGAAAGUCUGACGGAGCAACGCCGCGUGAGUGAUGAAGG